AUGGUCCAGAUCAAGAGCUUCAAGGUGUCGCCCCACGCUGUCAUGGAGCAAUGGCGGUCGCGCCUCCUUGUCGGAUUGGAUUGGCAUGGACGAGGGCAUGCAGCACCUCGAUCGCUCGUCCGUCAAUGUGUUGGUCUGCGUUCAGAGCAAGUUAAUGGUGAAUUCCCGACAAACCCGCAGCUCCCCGUCGUCUCCCCCGCCCCUCUGUCGUGCUCCCUCGCGCCUCGGCAGCUCGGCUCCUCCGCAGCCCCCCCGCAGGUCCCCGCGUCGCCGGAGCUCUCCUGCCCCAAGCCUCACCCACCCCACGCCUCCCCCGCAGCUUCCCUCUCCUUGUUCCCCUCCUCUUUCCCCAUGGUGAUCCACGGUCCUCCUCCUCCGUGGUGGAGGCUUCCUGUGGAGGUGCUGCUACUGUGGGCGACGCGCACAGCGAUGAGCGCGUGGUCGGUGCCCGUCGCCAUCGCGCUGCUCGGGAUCGCCGUGCGGGGCCGCCGGAUGCGGAGGCAGAGCAAGGCCGUGGCGCGCUUGCGGCUUGUCCUUGACGAUAAGUCAUUAGUGCCUGCAGUACCAAAUGUGAUGUUUGAUGUUUGCAACUUGGUCAUAACUCUGAUUAUCCAAAUCAACAUCAACAUUUACUCAUCUGCUAACUUAUGCUUCCCCAAUGGUGGGCAGUGUUGCCACCAUGUUCUUGUCCUGUUAAUCAAGAGUGCUACUCCAUCUAACUGUCAUGAGGGAUUAUAUAUGUUAAUUUGCUUCCAAAAAAUGAUUGAUUGUUUGUUUCCAAACAUCUUCAUGCGUCCAGGAAUGCCUACGAGAGGCGGGGCCGGUGAUUGGAUUCGUAGCAGCAGCAGCAGCAGAGGCGGGGGCGAGGAAAGAGCGUUCCACCAGCCAAGCUUGGCUACCAGCUCGGUGACCGUCGGGUGGGCGAUUCCGUCACUUAGGUGGCUGGCAGUGGCGGUGGGCGGUGGAAUCACGCAGGUAGGUGGCGGCGGAAUCGCGCAGGUGGUCGGCGGUUGGUCCUGGCGACGCGCGGGGGAAUCAGGGACCAGCUCGCCUCCGGUGGGCGGCGGAAUCAAUGGGCAGCUGUUCUCGGGUGGGCGGCGCGGGUGUUCGUGGGUGUCUGCGAGCGCCGGAAUCACCAGCACGGCGGCGGAAUCCGACCGCGCCGGCCCCUGGCGACGAGCGGAGGACGGGCGGAGGGAGGAGAAGGAGACUGGUACCUACUUCAGACAGUUUUCAAAUUUCGAGGGUUGUUUUACAAAAAAAACAUUACACUGCGCUCUGGACAACUUUUCCCGGACGGAGGGAGUACUAAUUAGGAAGGACCGUAUCAAAGAAGAUGCAGAGACGGUAUGGAAGGGGAAGGGGAGAAGACGUCGCUGCACAACUCAUAUUGCGCUGGUAUUGGAGCAUAUAAUAUUGGGCUGCAUGUUGGCCGAAGUGGGCUGCAUGUGA
rnacentral:rRNA from 1 species